UACAGAGGGUGCAAGCGUUGUUCGGAAUUAUUGGGCGUAAAGCGCGUGUAGGCGGCUUUGCAAGUCGGGUGUGAAAGCCCUCAGCUCAACUGAGGAAGUGCGCCCGAAACUGCAGAGCUUGAAUACCGGAGAGGAUCGCGGAAUUCCCGGUGUAGAGGUGAAAUUCGUAGAUAUCGGGAGGAACACCGGUGGCGAAGGCGGCGACCUGGACAAGUACUGACACUCAACUACGAAAGCGUGGGGAGCAAACAGG
rnacentral:rRNA from 1 species